rnacentral:rRNA from 1 species
UAGGGAAUCUUCGGCAAUGGACGGAAGUCUGACCGAGCAACGCCGCGUGAGUGAAGAAGGUUUUCGGAUCGUAAAGCUCUGUUGUUAGAGAAGAACGUUGGUAGGAGUGGAAAAUCUACCAAGUGACGGUAACUAACCAGAAAGGGACGGCUAACUACGUGCCAGCAGCCGCGGUAAUACGUAGGUCCCGAGCGUUGUCCGGAUUUAUUGGGCGUAAAGCGAGCGCAGGCGGUUCUUUAAGUCUGAAGUUAAAGGCAGUGGCUUAACCAUUUUACGCUUUGGAAACUGGAGGACUUGAGUGCAGAAGGGGAGAGUGGAAUUCCAUGUGUAGCGGUGAAAUGCGUAGAUAUAUGGAGGAACACCGGUGGCGAAAGCGGCUCUCUGGUCUGUAACUGACGCUGAGGCUCGAAAGCGUGGGGAGCGAACAGG